AGUGAACGCUGGCGGUAGGCCUAACACAUGCAAGUCGAACGGCAGCACAGUAAGAGCUUGCUCUUACGGGUGGCGAGUGGCGGACGGGUGAGGAAUACAUCGGAAUCUACUUUUUCGGGGGGGAUAACGUAGGGAAACUUACGCUAAUACCGCAUACGACCUACGGGGGAAAGCAGGGGAUCGUCGGACCUUGCGCGAUUGAAUGAGCCGAUGUCGGAUUAGCUAGUUGGCGGGGUAAAGGCCCACCAAGGGGACGAUCCGUAGCCGGUCUGAGAGGAUGGUCAGCCACAUUGGAACUGGGACACGGUCCAGACUCCUACGGGAGGCAGCAGUGGGGAAUAUUGGGCAAUGGGCGCAAGCCUGAUCCAGCGAUACCGCGUGGGUGAAGAAGGCCUUCCGGUUGUAAAGCCCUUUUGUUGGGAAAGAAAAGCAGCAGGUUAAUACCCCGCUGUUCUGACGGUACCCAAAGAAUAAGCACCGGCUAACUUCGUG
rnacentral:rRNA from 1 species